rnacentral:rRNA from 1 species
CAGUCGCCGCGGUAAUACGAAGGGCGCGAGCGUUACCCGGAUUUACUGGGCGUAAAGGGCGUGUAGGCGGCCUGGGGCGUCCCAUGUGAAAGGCCACGGCUCAACCGUGGAGGAGCGUGGGAUACGCUCAGGCUAGAGGGUGGGAGAGGGUGGUGGAAUUCCCGGAGUAGCGGUGAAAUGCGCAGAUACCGGGAGGAACGCCGAUGGCGAAGGCAGCCACCUGGUCCACUUCUGACGCUGAGGCGCGAAAGCGUGGGGAGCAAACCGGAUUAGAUACCCCCGUAGUCCCUGUCUCUUAUAC